CAGAAGGAAAGGAGACAGAUGGCCCAAGAGAAGAAGAAAGCCUGGAGAGAAUGUCUGAGGAUUUCUGUUCUGGUCUGAGAGAGCAAGCACGAGCAGGGGAAGGGCAGAGAGAGAAUCCCAAGCAGGCUCUGCACGGACAGCACAGAGCCCGAUGCGGGGCUCAAACUCGCAAACCCAUGAGAUCAAGACCUGAGCCGAAAUCCAGAAUCAGCUUAACGACUGAGCCACCCAGACGCCCCAGCCAUUGAUCUUUUUACCGUCUCCAUAGUUCGCCUUUUCCAGAAAGCCCUAUAGUUCGAAUGUAUGUAGCCUUUUCCAAUUGGCUUCUUUCAGUUAGUAAUUGCACUGAAGUUUUCCCCAUGUCUUUUCAAGGUUUGAUAGCUCAUUUCUUUUUAGUGCAGAGUAAUAUUCCAUUCCUGGAUUUACCAGGGUUUGCUUAUCCAUUCACCUACCGAAGGACAGCUUGGCUCCUUUCAAGUUUGGGCAAUUAUGAAUAAAGCUUCUAUAAACAUCUGUA